UCAAGCUACAAAGAGCACAAGGGGAAUGCCUUGGCACCGAGAGCCGAAGAAGGACGUGACUAACUGCGAUAAGCUGCGGGGAGCCGUAAGUAGGCUUUGAUCCGCAGAUUUCCGAAUGGAGCAAUCCGGCAAGAGGAAAGUCUUGUCAUCAUAUACUGAAUACAUAGGUAUAUGAGGGGAACCGCCUGAACUGAAACAUCUAAGUAGGGCGAGGAAGAGAAAUCAACUGAGAUUCCGUAAGUAGUGGCGAGCGAACGCGGAAGAGGCCAAACCGAGAGUAGUAAUACUUUCGGGGUUCGGACAGCAUAAGGUAUGCUAAAGGUUAGCAGAAGGACAUGGGACGGUCCACCACAGAGAGUGAUAGUCUCGUAUGCGAAAACCUAAAGCAGCCGGCUGGAUCCAGAGUACCGCCGGACACGUGAAACCCGGUGGGAAUAUGGGGGGACCAUCCUCCAAGCCUAAAUACUACUCGGUGACCGAUAGUGAAGAAGUACUGUGAAGGAAAGGUGAAAAGUACCCCUGACGGGGAGUGAAAAAGAACCUGAAACCUUGUGUUUACAAGCACCGAAAGCUCAUCAAAGAGCGAUCGGGUACCUUUUGUAGAAUGGUCCGGCGAGUGAAUGUAACCGGCGAGGUUAAGCACUUAAGGUGUGAAGCCGCAGCGAGAGCAAGUCUGAAUAGGGCGUAUGAAGUCGGUUGUAUUCGACCCGAAACCGGGUGACCUACCCAUGGUCAGGUUGAAGUAAAGGUAAAACUUUAUGGAGGACCGAACCGACUCCCGUUGAAAUGGUAGCGGAUGAACUGUGGGUAGCGGAGAAAUUCCAAUCGAACCCGGAGAUAGCUGGUUCUCUCCGAAAUAGCUUUAGGGCUAGCCUUGAAAUAGAUUACCGGAGGUAAAGCACUGAAUUGGCUAGGGGCCGAGAGGUUACUGAACCUUAUCAAACUAAGAAUGCCGGAUAAUCGUUUUUCAGGAGUCAGACAGUGGGAGAUAAGUUUCAUUGUCAAAAGGGAAACAGCCCAGACCUACAGCUAAGGUCCCCAAGUAUAGUUAAGUGGAAAAGGAUGUGGAAUUGCACAGACAACCAGGAUGUUGGCUUAGAAGCAGCCACUCAUUAAAAGAGUGCGUAAUAGCUCACUGGUCGAGUGACUCUGCGCCGAAAAUUUAACGGGGCUAAACUAUACACCGAAGCUUGGGAUACAUCUAAUGUAUGGUAGGAGAGCGUUCUGUAUGGGGAGAAGUCGUAGCGAAAGCGGCGGUGGACUAUACAGAAGUGAGAAUGCCGGAAUAAGUAGCGAGAAUUAAGUGAGAAUCUUAAUGGCCGAAAGUCUAAGGUUUUUGGAGGAAGGUUCGUCCGCUCCAAGUAAGUCGGGAGCUAAGGUCAGGCCGAAAGGCGUAGCCGAUGCACAUACGGUUGAUAUUCCGUAACCAUCUGUAAUUUAAGCAAAGGGACACUUCAAAAGGGUGUGACCCGGGCGUUGGUUGACCCGGGCGUAAGGGACCGAAAUUAGAGUAGGGAAGCACACUUAGCUGAAGGCGAGAAAAGCUUUGCGUAUAGAAACAGAUGCCCGUACCGCAAACCGACACAGGUGGACAGGAAGAGAAUUCUAAGGCCAGCGGGAGAAGGGUAGUUAAGGAACUCGGCAAAUUGACUCCGUAACUUCGGAAUAAGGAGUGCUCGAAAGAGCCGCAGAGAAUAGGCCCAGGCGACUGUUUAGCAAAAACACAGGUCUCUGCCAAAUCGAAAGAUGAAGUAUAGGGGCUGACACCUGCCCGGUGCCGGAAGGUUAAGAGGAGGAGUGAGAGCUCCGAAUUGAAGCCCCGGUAAACGGCGGCCGUAACUAUAACGGUCCUAAGGUAGCGAAAUUCCUUGUCGGGU
rnacentral:rRNA from 1 species